rnacentral:ncRNA from 16 species
GCCAGGUCCCGUAGCCCUGGUGCCUGGGCGCGUAGUCCAGGCUUAAAGUGGGGAAGUCCGGUGCAAGUCCGGCGCUGUCCCGCAACGGUAACCGGUCACGCGUCAGGCCCUUCGUCGCAGGCCGGAAGCCCGAAUACCUGCCAGGGCCGUCCGCCCUUCC